GGCUCGGUGGUGUAGUUGGUUAUCACGUCAGUCUAACAUCUCUCUCAACAGAUGUUAACGCGCACUGAAGGUCCCGAGUUCAAACCUCGGCUGAGUCA